UGGUUAGAGUGUAGAGGUGGCAGGUAGUCUAGUGGUUAGAGUGUAGAGGUGGCAGGUAGUCUAGUGGUUAGAGUGUAGAGGUGGCAGGUAGCCUAGUGGUUAGAGUGUAGAGGAGGCAGGUAGUCUAGUGGUUAGAGUGUAGAGGAGGCAGGUAGUCUAGUGGUUAGAGUGUAGAGGAGGCAGGUAGCCUAGUGGUUAGAGUGUAGAGGAGGCAGGUAGCCUAGUGGUUAGAGUGUAGAGGAGGCAGGUAGCCUAGUGGUUAGAGUGUAGAGGAGGCAGGUAGCCUAGUGGUUAGAGUGUAGAGGAGGCAGGUAGUCUAGUGGUUAGAGUGUAGAGGAGGCAGGUAGCCUAGUGGUUAGAGUGUAGAGGAGGCAGGUAGCCUAGUGGUUAGAGUGUAGAGGAGGCAGGUAGCCUAGUGGUUAGAGUGUAGAAGAGGCAGGUAGCCUAGUGGUUAGAGUGUAGAGGAGGCAGGUAGCCUAGUGGUUAGAGUGUAGAGGAG